UAUCAGUAGAAGAUUAAUUAAUUGUUUGGACGUUAGACUGUGCAAGAAUGAUUUUUAUAUUAGUUAAUAAAAAAAGAAAAAAAAAAUAAAAUAAAUAAAAAAGAAAAAAAAAUAGAAAAGGGAGAAACCAAUCGAAAGAGUUAACACAUUUCUUUCGUUGUUAUCGUUGAAAAUAUUGUUCAGACGUUUUUAGCACAAGUUAGUUAUAUACAUAUAUGUAUAUGUAUGUAGAGAUAAAGAUAAAGAUAGAUAGAGAGAAAGAGAGAAAGAGAAAGAAAGAAAGUUAAUUACUAAAUCAUUUUUAAUGUCUCAUUGUUCUUACAAAUGUUACGUUCAAUGUCACUAGUCAAGGAUAAUAAUAUAUCACCGUUAUAUAAUUUCAAGUAUUAAUUGAAAUUUAAAUAUAAAUAUUUUUGUUGUUAGGAUUUUUCUACUAGCAAUAAUAAUUUAUCGAUCAUAAUCGAUCAGAUUUAACUAUUACUGCACAAAAAAUAAGAUGAGAGAGAGAGAGAGAGAGAGAGAGAGAGAGAGAGAGAGAGAAAGAGAGAGAAUUUUAUUUAUAAAUUUCUUCUUUAUAAAUUUGUAUGAAAUGUUGAGAUACUGGUCAAAAGUGAAAAAAUUUAGAUAAAAAAUAAAAAAGGAAAAAGAAUAAAGAAAAAGAAGAACACAGACACAUAUAUACACACACACACACACACACACCCACACACACACAAAUAUACAAAGGAAAAAUAAAGACAUCUUUUAUUCAUGAAAGUGAACUGUUUGUCUAAAUUAUAUAAAUAAUGUUGACAUAAUUUUGAUGAUAAUUUACUUAAUAAAUUAUUAAUGUCAUCUUUUUGUACAGUUAUAAGAAGAAAUAAUGCAAUUAAGAUGAAUUUGAUAGAACAAUUUUAUGAUUAAAUUUGAUAUGAUUGUUAACACCAUUUUUCAUAAUAUCGAAAGAAAAAAACGAGAUUCGAAUUCUAAAAAAUUUGGAAAUAAAGUGAAGUGAGAAAUUUCGACGUUGAUAUAAUAAAUUUUUCAGUUUUCAAUCUGUUUAUUUUUCGUUUCUUUUUCGUAGAUGUUUUUUAUAUGCAAUAUUGUAAGAAAAAAAGAAAAAAUGGGAAAGAGGAAAUAGAAUUGUUCGUUUAUUUAUGUGUAUAUAAAAGAAAGAGGAAAAAAAAGAAAACGAGUUUGUUAAUAUUUCGAAAAUAUUUCUAAUAGUCAUAUAAUUCUCACCGAUUAUAAAAUAUUUUGUAACAUACUUUUUUGUUUGGUUUUCUUAAACUAGAAAGAACGUACAUAUAAUAUAUAUAUAUAUAUAUAUUCGUAUAACAGCACGUAUCAGUCAAUAUCUCAACGCACAGAUAUCAUUUAUUUGUUCACAACUUAAUUACGUUGUGCAUAAAUACAUACGUACAUAAAAAACUAGAUACAGUUUUUCUCCGUGAGAAACUUUAACGGCCGUCAAACUCUCAAAAAGAUAAGAAUUUUAUUCGAGAUGCGAAUUAUGAUGACAAAGAAAGAGAAGCAAAAAUAAUAAUAAUAAAAAAAAAAAAAAAAAAACAAAUAAAUAAAUAUGGUGGCCGUGUUAAGGAGAAACUAUGAGCGUUUUGUUUUUAUUAUUCUUUUCUUUUUUUUUUUUUUUUUUAUUUAUUUAAUUUGUUUAACCGAAUAAAAGACACAAGUAAACGUGGAAGAGGAAAAAUAUAAGGAUGUAAAAGUAAAAAAAUAAAAAAGAUAAAAAAAAGAAGAAUCCAAAAAUACGCGGAAUCAUAAUGUCUUCCUUCGGACGGCCACUUAAGGGAACGCCGUCUCCAUUUUGCACGGCGCCAUUUUAGCAGGGUUUAUACGAAUAUUCGAAGUAGUAUCACGUAAGAAAAACAAUAUACAUAUAUAUAUAUAUGUAUAUAAAUAUAUAUAUAUAUAUAAAAAAUUAGAAAGUUAUUAGAAGUCCAAUUGACUUGGCCAUUGAGAAUUGAAAUUAAUUAUAUUACAUGCAAAUUAUUAUAAUACAUGUAUAUAUAAUAUAUGAAAAUAUAUUAUAUAUUUAUAUAUAUAUUAUAUAUAUAUAUAUAUAUAUGUAUAUAUAUAAAUAUAUAAGUGCAAGUUAUGGGCUCACCGUUCAGCGGUUUGCAGCUUACUAUUCACAUUGCACGAAAAUAAUUAUAGAUUCUAAUUAUGUAUUAUUUUUCAGGCGAUUAUAGUUUUUUUAUUUUCAUUUUUAUUAUUAGGAAAGAAAGAGAUCCUUCGACAUGCCUAAUUGAACAUAAACAAAUAUGUACGUGUACUUAUUACAUCGAUAGUUCCUGAAAGAUUACAAAAGUAUAAUAUAUCGGAGAUAUUACGAUAUUAUCUAACACUGUACAGUGAGCCUUUAACUAGAGCUAUCCUGUAUGAGAGGAUAGAUGCAUUAGAAUUUUCAAGAUAAUUAUAAUCGUUUUAUGAAAGAUGACAGCGGGGAGAUUAAAAAACGACAAAGCGAGUUAAAUAAACAAAUUAAUUUGCCAUAAAUAGAGAAUUUGAAAUUCGACGACGAUACGUUGGAAAUUUCGCGAGAUUUAAUGUGCUGUUUCAAUGCGAUUUAAUAUUUUAUGUGAGAACGAAUACGUUGGAUUGCCACGUAGAUAACAUUGUUUUAAAAAAAACUGACCGAGUUUGUGUACGGUUAUUUGAAGAAAAAAAGAAAGAAAGAGAAAGGAAAGGAAAAAAAAAAGAUAAAAAAAUUACCACUGUAUAAAGUUAGCGAUCUUUGAUAAACGAGAGGCAAAUAUAUAUAUAUAUAUAUAUAUAUAUAUAUAUAGCUUGACUGAUCUCCGAAGCAUUUACUCGCAAGAACACCGACGUCUGUUAAUCUACAUUAUAGACGAAUGUUUUAAAGAUAAGAAUUUUAUCUUACCGCUAUCUAACGGCCUAUACAAGCCUCAAUUCCGAUAGAUAAGAGUAUAUUGAAAAAAAAAAAAAAAAAAAAAAAAGAAGAACGGAUAGAGAAAAAGAAAAAAAAUGGAAUAAAAAAGAAAGAAGAAGAAGAAGAAGAACAUUAUUCGCAAGGUGCUCUGUGUAAUGAAAUUAUUACAGUACAUUAGACAUUAAUUUACGCAGUGCAAUUUCGAAUUAUAUUCGUUAAUGUAAAUCGAUCAAUUAAUCGAUCGAUCGAUCCACUAGCAUCGACUUUACUGUAUCAUAAUAAUGUUCACGUAAUCUCACAUUCUGUAAACUUUUCCAAUCAUUGAAAAGAAAAAUAAUGAGAGAUAUGCGUAUAAAUGUAUGAACGCGUAUUCGCACAUACAUAUACAUAUAUAUAUAUAUAUAUAUAUAUAUAUAUACGUGCGCGCGCGCAUAUAUAUACACACACACCAUACACUCACAUGAUGAUCGUUAUGGCGUUUUUUGUGAUUGCACUUUAAAAUUACAAUCUUUAGAUGUGUAUGUUGUUUUUCAAUAAAUAUAAAAUAUAUUUGUGUUAUCAUAAAGAGAUACACACAUACACACACAUAAACGAAGCCUUCACGUUUUAUCGUUGUGCUUGUAUGUUCAUAUUUCCGAACUUAUGUAUUAGUAAAAAAAAAAAAAAAAAAAAAAAAAAAAAAAAAAAAAAAAGAAACAGAGAUAUUCGUCAAAUGAAAAUAGUAAGUCCUAUUAAUUAGGCUCGUCGUUAGUAAAAAUUAUUUCGAUAUACAAAUAUACAUGCAUACAUACAUAUACAUAUAUAUAUACAUAUGUAUAUAUAUAUAUAAUUUUAGCUAUGUAGAUAUUAAUAAAUUUAGCUAAUUUAGAUAUUCAAUUAGAAAGUUUCUUAGAAAUAUUUUCGAUCACUUUUCUAUAGUAAAGAAUAGAAAUAUUCAACAAUCGAUUUACAAUGACCCUUCAAAUUACGAAAGGACAUAUGUGGAUGUGUUAUUGUUUUGUCUAACGAAAUUACGAAAGAAAAAAAAAAGAGAAACAAACAAAUGAAGGCACUGGCAGUCGUUUCCGUUUUCCUAAUUUCGUCUUUCUUUUGUCACAAUGUUGUUGUGUGUAUGAGAAUAUCGUCAGUUAGACCUUUAUCAUACCACAGAGAAAGAGUCUCUCUAAGUUUCUGAGAAUUAAUUUUUUUUUCAUCGAUUCAUAUUUAACGACAAUCUGUCUCAAUCUUGUUCGGUCCUUUUCAACAAAAAAAUUCGAAAGCGAUUUUUCAAAUUUCCCGCGAUUUUCGUACAUCAAAGAUGUCUCUCAAGCGUAUAUUUCCUGAACGCGGCAGCUACAAAGUAACAUCGCCAAACAAUUCGAUGCAAAUGGCUGAGAACAGGAAAAAGAGCAUCGAAUACGAGCAACCGAACGAAGUUCACUCCCAAACAACGAUGGCUACUGCGUCGGUAAUCCCGUCCUCGUCAUUAUCGACUUUGCCGUCAUCAACGCCAAUGUCACUAAAUCGAAGCAUAGAUUAUGAUGCAAUCGAGAUAGCACCAUCAAAUACAAAUAUUGCCUUACAAGGUUUACAUUGGGAAAAUCAAAAAAGUCAAAGAAAAGUCGAAUUUGAUAUCGACUCUGGGAGUCAUUCGUCAAAGGACAACAAAUGCGAGGAAUGUCUUAUUAAUUGUCUUUAUUACACGCAUGAAUGUUGUGACUGUGCCAUUUUAUGACGACUCUUUUAUUCUUUUUUUUUCUGUUUUCUUUUUUUUAGAAGAUUACACUUAGAGAUUUUACGAUAAGAAAUUCGUUCAAAGAAGUGUUAUGUUAGUUACAUUGUAUUCUCGCAUUGUAAAAUAAAGAAUAUGUUUUAUGAAAAACAUAUACGUACACAUGUACUAUAAAGGUUAAUUUUCAUAAUACGUAAUAUAAAAUGUAAAUAUUUAAUAUUAAAAUGAGUAAUUUGAGUGCCAUUGAUAAGUA